UUACAAUCAAAUCAUAAUUAAAUAAUUUAUAAAAAAAAUAUUGUAAAUAAAUUCUUACUUAUAAUUAUUAUUAAAAAAUAUUAUAAAAAUAUAAUCAUAUUAAAAAGUACGAUGCUAAAAAAUUAUAUUACUACUUUUCUUCCAAAAAACACAAAUUUCAAUCGUGUCUAUAAUUUAAUUAAUAAAACUAAUUUUCGUUUUGGAAUUAAAUUUCCAAAGGUUACACGCGUACGCUGCGUAUUACACGAUAUACGUACAAUAUGUACACAUUGGAUUAAAUAAGAAUAACAAGUUAACGCGACAUUGAGGCAUAAUAAAUGGAAUGGAACGACUUAUUUCACGGCAUAACGAGUUCGAGCGUGGAACCGAGAGGACGUCGAUUGAUAAAUCGUCGUUUCAUCAAGCGGUCAACUAAAUACGAUAUUCUGGACACGUGCGGGUGAUCUUUGUGCCGCUCAUGGACGAGAAAGACACGAUAAAUGAUGAUUCGAUCAAUAGUUGCGUUUCCUUCGUUCCCGAUAACGAUCCUCAUCGACGUGAUGGAAAUAUAUUUGGUAAAGCAUCAUUGGAACGCAACUUUGGAAUCGAAGAUAUGGAAGGAAAGAUAUUUAAUCGCGAGAAAGAAUUUGAACGUUGCUCAUAUCUAACGAAAUUGUAAAUGUCGAAACGCGAUCUAUGAGGCAUUAAGGAAGAUAUUUUUAAUAUAGAGAUGGAAUGGAAUAUCUGGGACGCGGUUUGUUAAAUCGGAAUUUGAUUUUAAUUUGAAAGAUCGUUGAGAAGAUACGAAAAUUGAUGCGGGUCUGUAUAAAAAUUCUUAUUAAAAUUUAAAUUAAUUUUU